rnacentral:lncRNA from 1 species
GCAAUGGAAGAUGUCGACACCUGUACUACAAGUGGCAUCGAGAUUUAAAGGACCUACUUGCAUGGCCCAUGGGCCUGACAGAGUAAGAAUUGAACAGUACCCAGUGUCUCAAAGGUCACGGUUGGAAGAGAAAUAGACGGGGCGGGAGAAGAGGCUCUAGUCUAAAUGGUCACUUAAAGGAGAAUUCAAUGGCAGGAAUGCUCUAGGCGGAGAAGGCAGGAGCAGGGAAAUCCUGACACUGGAAUAGUUCUAAGAGAUAUGAAUGGCGCGAGACUCCUGAAGCUGACCUCCCUGUCUCCACUGGUGGAAGGCACAGACCACCAGAGGGAGCAGCUGUGCCUGGCACUUCCUGAAUGAAGCCUGCACCUCCUCUGGAAAACACCUUGUCCCUCAGCAACAGGGGAGCCAUUCCAGCCCAGCCCUAUGCCCCUACCUGUCACCAACCCCCAAAUUGAGCCAUGGAGUGUAACAGCAGCAGCCAGGGCCUGCUUUCAGAUCACACCACCGUGGGACCCAGGGCACCAUGUAUUCAGCAGGGAAUGCUGAUCAGGGAUGCCAUCAACCAAGAGGUCUUUUCCAAUCAAGAGAACAGAGUGGCCCCCAUACAACUCAUGUUGUCAUAACGCAGUAGACCUGAUGCCAGGAACCUGUGUUUGCGCCAAAUGUACACUCACACCCAGAAGUGAAGGCCCAGGUCCUCUGAGACCAUGAAGCUCAGCACCCACAGCCAUCUGUCAUUACACACUGACCUUUCCCUGCAGGUGACCAGAAACCAUGUUUAAACUCUUGUAUCAAAAGUGUACCAAAUAUAUAGGAAAAUGCACAUAUCGCAAGGGUACAACUUGAUGCAUUUCUAGGAAAUGAACAGAUCCCUGCAAACGACAUCCAGAUCAAGAAACAGGACAUUGCCCCUAAGUCAGGGCCCACUUCUGCUUCCUUCCAAUCAAUGACCCCAAAGAGUAAUCCCUAUCCUGACUUCUUUCACUGUAGAUUAGUGUUGCC